CCUACGGGUGGCAGCAGUGGGGAAUAUUGCGCAAUGGGCGAAAGCCUGACGCAGCGACGCCGCGUGAGGGAUGAAGGUCUUCCGAUCGUAAACCUCUGUCAGCAGGGAAGAACGGUCACUGUGCUAAUCAGCAGUGAAUUGACGGUACCUGCAAAGGAAGCACCGGCUAACUCCGUGCCAGCAGCCGCGGUAAUACGGAGGGUGCGGGCGUUAAUCGGAAUUACUGGGCGUAAAGCGCUCGUAGGCGGUAUGUCAAGUCAAGGGUGAAAUCCCCGCGCUCAACGUGGGAACUGCCUUUGAAACUGGCAGACUGGAGUGUGUAAGAGGAUAGUGGAAUUCCAGGUGUAGGAGUGAAAUCCGUAGAUAUCUGGAGGAACACCGGUGGCGAAGGCGACUAUCUGGCACAUAACUGACGCUGAGGAGCGAAAGCGUGGGUAGCAAACAGGAUUAGAUACCCUUGUAGUC
rnacentral:rRNA from 1 species